rnacentral:misc_RNA from 1 species
GGACUACAAGGGUUUCUAAUCCUGUUUGCUCCCCACGCUUUCGUGCAUGAGCGUCAGUGUUAUCCCAGGAGGCUGCCUUCGCCAUCGGUAUUCCUCCACAUCUCUACGCAUUUCACUGCUACACGUGGAAUUCUACCUCCCUCUGACACACUCUAGCCGUGCAGUCACCAAUGCAAUUCCCAGGUUAAGCCCGGGGAUUUCACAUCGGUCUUGCACAACCGCCUGCGCACGCUUUACGCCCAGUAAUUCCGAUUAACGCUUGGACCCUACGUAUUACCGCGGCGGCUGGCACA